rnacentral:rRNA from 1 species
GACGAACGCUGGCGGCGUGCUUAACACAUGCAAGUCGAGCGGUAAGGCCCCUUCGGGGGUACACGAGCGGCGAACGGGUGAGUAACACGUGAGCAAUCUGCCCUUCACAUCGGGAUAACUCCCGGAAACGGGAGCUAAUACCGGAUACGACCACUUCAGGCAUCUGAUGGUGGUGGAAAGUUCCGGCGGUGAAGGAUGAGCUCGCGGCCUAUCAGCUUGUUGGUGGGGUAACGGCCCACCAAGGCUUCGACGGGUAGCCGGCCUGAGAGGGUGACCGGCCACACUGGGACUGAGACACGGCCCAGACUCCUACGGGAGGCAGCAGUGGGGAAUAUUGGACAAUGGGCGAAAGCCUGAUCCAGCAACGCCGCGUGAGGGAUGACGGCCUUCGGGUUGUAAACCUCUUUCAGUAGGGACGAAGCGCAAGUGACGGUACCUACAGAAGAAGCACCGGCCAACUACGUG